rnacentral:rRNA from 1 species
AUUGAACGCUGGCGGCAUGCCUUACACAUGCAAGUCGAACGGCAGCGGACCUUCGGGUGCCGGCGAGUGGCGAACGGGUGAGUAAUAUAUCGGAACGUACCUUUCAGUGGGGGAUAACGUAGCGAAAGUUACGCUAAUACCGCAUAUUCUGUGAGCAGGAAAGCAGGGGAUCGCAAGACCUUGCGCUGAUUGAGCGGCCGAUAUCAGAUUAGCUAGUUGGUGAGGUAAAGGCUCACCAAGGCGACGAUCUGUAGCGGGUCUGAGAGGAUGAUCCACCACACUGGAACUGAGACACGGUCCAGACUCCUACGGGAGGCAGCAGUGGGGAAUUUUGGACAAUGGGCGAAAGCCUGAUGCAGCAAUGCCGCGUGUGUGAAGAAGGCCUGCGGGUUGUAAAGCACUUUCAGUAGGGAGGAAACAGUAGCCGGUUAAUAUCCGGUUGCCUUGACG